rnacentral:rRNA from 1 species
GUGAGGAAUAUUGGUCAAUGGACGAGAGUCUGAACCAGCCAAGUCGCGUGAAGGAAGACGGUUCUAUGAAUUGUAAACUUCUUUUGUGCAGGAAUAAAGUGGGUUACGUGUAACCUUUUGUAUGUACGGUACGAAUAAGGAUCGGCUAACUCCGUGCCAGCAGCCGCGGUAAUAUGGAGGAUCCGAGCGUUAUCCGGAUUUAUUGGGUUUAAAGGGUGCGUAGGUGGAUUGAUAAGUCAGCGGUGAGAGUUUGCAGCUUAACUGGAAAAUUGCCGUUGAAACUGUCGGUCUUGAGUGCAAAUGAGGAUGUCGGAAUGUGUUGUGUAGCGGUGAAAUGCUUAGAUAGAACACACAACUCCGAUUGCGAUGGCAGCUUACUGGCAUGCAACUGACACUUAUGCACGAAAGCGUGGGUAUCAAACAGGAUUAGAAACCCGAGUAGUCC